ensembl:snRNA U6 U6 spliceosomal RNA
GCACUUAAGGAGUUGGAAGAUCAGGUGCUAAAUUUGAAACCAUACAGAGAAAGUUAGCCUGGCCCCUGUGCAGGGAUGAUGUGCAAAUUCAUGAAGUGCUCCAUAUUUUU